rnacentral:lncRNA from 1 species
GGGGGGUCGCGUGUGUGUGUGUGUGACAGAGCGAGCGUGAGCGUGUGUGUGUAAGGCUGCUGACUGAGUUGAAAGAGAGGAAGUAUGACUGAAAGCUGAACACAGGAAGUGGCUCUGACUCUGAGUAAAGCUAUUUUAGCAGGAGAGGAGAGCUCUCUCUUGACAGCAGCUCUCUGAGGAGAGGAGGGUCUUCAAUCUGCAUCAGAGGACAGACUUCAGUGGGAGAGAGGAGCGAAGAAGAAGAAGCCCUGUGAUGCUCACAUGACAGUGUGACUGAGAGCCCUAGAUGAGAGGUGAGGUUUUGACUUUCACAGGAGAGGACAAACUGAAGAGGGGGGAGAGGGAGAGAGAGAGAAACUGCUACUCAGCUCAGACUGUGUGACUGUGAGAGAGAGCCUAGAUGAGAGGUUUUGUAGCUUUCACACUGCUGCCCCUCUCCCCCCCGUCAGUUCAUGACACAGCAAGUUGAGGAAGUGAAAUACAGUAACAUGGGGGUGGACUAAAUGUGGAACUGUGACUUCUCUAAUGUGUAAAGGGUGCUAGGAAGGGAACCAGAUUAAGGAAGCUACCACCUAUCGCUGUAACUGUGUACCAUUUCUUUGCCUGUUUUUUGGAAGAAUGAUUUUGAGAGCUACCUAAGAGAGUGAAUUUGUUGUCACCUUUUUGGGCACAACUUCCGGGUGAAGCUGUAGAAGAAUAGCUGAAGAGAGAGAGAGAGAAGAUGCCUCCUCCCCCACCACCCCCUGCCCCUCCCCCACCCCCAACCUUCGCUGUGGCAAAUACACAGAAGCCAUCACUCAGCAAGAAUGAAGCGCAAGGAAGAAACGCCUUACUGUCUGAUAUCGGCAAAGGUGCUCGUCUGAAGAAGGCUGUCACCAAUGACAGGAGUCAACCCAUCAUUGACAGUGAGUAAACAUUUCUCUGAUGGUGUGUAUUCUAAAGGCUUUACUCA